rnacentral:rRNA from 1 species
GAUGAACGCUGGCGGCGUGCCUAAUACAUGCAAGUCGAGCGAACAGACGAGGAGCUUGCUCCUUUGACGUUAGCGGCGGACGGGUGAGUAACACGUGGGUAACCUACCUAUAAGACUGGGAUAACUUCGGGAGACCGGAGCUAAUACCGGAUAAUAUUUCGAACCGCAUGGUUCGAUAGUGAAAGAUGGCUUUGCUAUCACUUAUAGAUGGACCUGCGCCGUAUUAGCUAGUUGGUAAGGUAACGGCUUACCAAGGCAACGAUACGUAGCCGACCUGAGAGGGUGGUCGGCCACACUGGAACUGAGACACGGUCCAGACUCCUACAGGAGGCAGCAGUAGGGAAUCUUCCGCAAUGGGCGAAAGCCUGACGGAGCAACGCCGCGUGAGUGAUGAAGGUCUUCGGAUCGUAAAACUCUGUUAUUAGGGAAGAACAAACGUGUAAGUAACUGUGCACGUCUUGACGGUACCUAAUCAGAAAGCCACGGCUAACUACGUGC